UACCUGCAGCUCAAGUGGUGACCGCUAUUAUUGGGCCUAAAACGUCCGUAGCCGGUUUUAUAAAUGCCUGGGUAAAUCGUGUGGCUUAACCAUACGAAUUCCGGGUAGACUGUUAAACUUGAGACCGGGAGAGGCUAGAGGUACUCCUGGGGUAGAGGUGAAAUUCUGUAAUCCUGGGGGGACCACCAGUGGCGAAGGCGUCUAGCUAGAACGGGUCUGACGGUGAGGGACGAAGCCCUGGGGCGCAAACCGGAUUAGAUACCCGGGUAGUCCAGGGUGUAAACGCUGCUUGCUUGAUGUUAGUCGGGCUCCGAGCCCGAUUAGUGUCGGAGAGAAGUUGUUAAGCAAGCUGCCUGGGAAGUACGGUCGCAAGACUGAAACUUAAAGGAAUUGGCGGGGAGCACAGCAACGGGUGGAGCGUGCGGUUU
rnacentral:rRNA from 1 species